UACAGAGGGGGCAAGCGUUGUUCGGAAUUACUGGGCGUAAAGGGCGCGUAGGCGGCCUGCUAAGUCGAACGUGAAAUCCCUGGGCUCAACCCAGGAACUGCGUCCGAUACUGGUUGGCUUGAAUCCGGGAGAGGGAUGUGGAAUUCCAGGUGUAGCGGUGAAAUGCGUAGAUAUCUGGAGGAACACCGGUGGCGAAGGCGGCAUUCUGGACCGAAACUGACGCUGAGGCGCGAAAGCCAGGGGAGCAAACGGG
rnacentral:rRNA from 1 species